UAUUCUAUCAAAAUAAAACAAAAAUGAACAAAAUUUUACCAUUAAAUAAACAUAUAAAUAAAUAAAUGGGCUACAUGAGGGGUGGGAAUCUCCUAGCGAGUGAGAUCAUUCUUGGCAUUUUCAGGAAAAACUUGAUGUCAGAAGCAUCAAUGUGAAAAACAUCACUCCUCCAUCCAGAAGAAUUCAGGCUGCUUGGACUUAUAGAUGUGGCCAAAAGAGGGCCCAGCUCUGAGGUCAUUAAGUUACUGAGCCCUUUUGAUGACUCACUAGGACUAGAUGUAGGACUUACCUCAGAUAUAAGCCCAACCCCUCCAUUUCCAGAAGAGGAAGACCUCACAAGUCGGGACAUCAUUGAGAGAUAGCAGAAAACUUUCCAAUUUCAUUGUGAGGAACAAAGCUGAGCUCUCUGAUGGUUUAUUUUCUAAGGACCUCUCUCAGGUGGCCACUUUCAUUCCCACCACCUGAAUUCUCUUUCUGCAGCCCAGGCUACAGUGGGAACUGCGUGGGCUUUCUCACUAAGAAAACCGACCUUGCUAUGAAGCUCUCUCUGUCCGCGCAUGUACGACGCAUCUCUCACAGGCACAGCGAUCCAGAAAACUCAAGUGGCCGUCUCCAUUGCGGUCAUCUGGACUUCCAGGCAAACAGGACACACAGGGGACAAUGAGCAGGAUCAUCUUCUCAAGUUCUGUGCCAGAAAAACCCCAUUGAGAUUUUGCCUGCAAUUACAUUAAAUAUAUGAUCACUUUGAUCCUGCCAGGAUCGUCAGUAUAAUCUUGAGAAGAAAUUAUAAUAGCAGGCAUCUUUUCUAAUCAUUUAAUAUCCUAUUAAGAUGGGAGAUAUAUAUUUUGAA